UACGGAGGGGACUAGCGUUGGUCGGAAUUACUGGGCGUACAGGGCGUGUAGUCGGAUCGGUCAGUCAGGGGUGAAAUCCCUGGGCUCAACCCAGGAACUGCCUUUGAUACUGCCGAUCUAGAGUCCGGGAGAGGAUCGUGGAAUUCCCAGUGUAGAGGUGAAAUUCGUAGAUAUUGGGAAGAACACCAGUGGCGAAGGCGGCGAUCUGGACCGGUACUGACGCUGAGGCGCGAAAGCGUGGGGAGCAAACAGG
rnacentral:misc_RNA from 1 species